AGGCCAUGUCUGAAGGACCCCUGAUGACCGUGUGAUGUCUGGUGGAGCCUGUUUGUAAAGAGGUUGGAGGUCGAUGCUGUUCUUCUUCUUCUUCAUGAUGAGUUGAGAUCUUCUGCUUCACUCUUCGUCUGACUAAUACACGGCGGCGUACGUGCGCCUCACUGGCGGCGCCCCCGAAGUUGGCGAGCACGGGCGAAACAACGUUCAAUAUUUCAUCUGACCCACAUGAAAAGCAGCCGUCUGCGUACAAGAGCAGAUCUGAGAGUGUGACGGCACCGGGAAACCAGACCGAACGAAACUAAAGAAUAGAUCGUUCGGGGAAGAUGCACGAGCGUAGAACCGAGAGGGCGGAGAAUCAGCUGACGUUGCCUUGACCAGCGCCGCUGCUGCAGAGCCUCAAACUGUAUUAAUAUUUAAACUGUUCAAAUUCAACACUGCGCCGAACAAUUCACACCAAGUGUGAAGCCCAGAAGAAGAACAGUUCUCCAGAUGCGUGGAUCGGAAUAAGGUUUUUAAUUCAUCGACCAAACAAAGCAUCUUGAAUGCAAACACGAAAAUCUCGAAUGAAAAGUAGCAGAAGAAUCUUAAUCUUUAUAUUAUUAUAUUUCUUUUUCUACAUGUUGAUGCACAGUCCAAUAAUAACAUUAAACAGUGACACACAUGACGCAAAGUGUAAAACACGGA